AGUGAACGCUGGCGGUAGGCCUAACACAUGCAAGUCGAACGGCAGCACAGUAAGAGCUUGCUCUUACGGGUGGCGAGUGGCGGACGGGUGAGGAACACAUCGGAAUCUACUUUUUCGUGGGGGAUAACGUAGGGAAACUUACGCUAAUACCGCAUACGACCUACGGGUGAAAGCAGGGGAUCUUCGGACCUUGCGCGAUUGAAUGAGCCGAUGUCGGAUUAGCUAGUUGGCGGGGUAAAGGCCCACCAAGGCGACGAUCCGUAGCUGGUCUGAGAGGAUGAUCAGCCACACUGGAACUGAGACACGGUCCAGACUCCUACGGGAGGCAGCAGUGGGGAAUAUUGGACAAUGGGCGCAAGCCUGAUCCAGCCAUACCGCGUGGGUGAAGAAGGCCUUCGGGUUGUAAAGCCCUUUUGUUGGGAAAGAAAAGCAGCAGGUUAAUACCCCGCUGUUCUGACGGUACCCAAAGAAUAAGCACCGGCUAACUUCGUA
rnacentral:rRNA from 1 species